UUUCGUAGGUGAGACUAGUAAACGAAGAGAUCCGGUUUGAACUGGUUCCCGACGUGACAAAGAACGUGACUCAUCUAACCACCCUCAAGUACGAGAACAAGGGGGCGUGGCAUACCGUAGAGCUGAACUACACCAGAGGAGAACUUGGCCUGGCUGUUGAUUUCAAACACAAAGAAGCCGAUCUCUACGGAUUGAAAUUCAAAAUGAGCAAAAAAGUUAUCAUUGGAAGUGGGAUUGGAGCCAAAGCUAGUCUUGGGCUGAUUGGAUGUAUGCGGGAAAUAAUAAUCAAUGGUGUACAGAUGGAACCGCGCUACUUAGUGCGUACUCAUCACACUGUGGGACAGGUAUCUCUGGACAACUGCCAGCUGGUUGACCCGUGCAAGCGGCCGAACGCGUGUGAACACGGCGGCAAGUGUCAGGUGAAGGAUGACCGACUCACCUGCGACUGCAAGGGCACCGGAUACAUCGGCAAGAACUGCCACUUCGCGAAAUUUCGUAAAACUUGCGAAGAACUCGCUCUGCUCGGCUACUCUAAGCCCGACGUCUACCUGAUCGACAUUGACGGAAACGGACGAUUUCCGCCCGCCCAUGUCAAGUGUGAGUUCCAGUCGCUGGAAAACUCAACGAAAACUAUCGUCGAACACAAUCUGCCCAGUCAAGUGGACGUACGCAGCCUGGCGGAAAACGACUUCAGUUUCACGAUCACCUACCGCGAGUUCACCUCAGAGAUGUUGCAAGAGUUGAUCUCUCACUCGCUCUACUGCAGUCAGUACAUAAAGUACGACUGCUACAAGGCUCCCUUGGAGCUGCAUUCGGCCACUUGGUUCAUAUCAGCUGCUCACAAUGGCACUGUUGACUACCUGGGCAACGUGAAGAGAGGGUCUUGUCCCUGUGCUGUGAACCGAACCUGUGUGAACCCAGACCUGUCAUGCAACUGCGACGUGUCGGAAGGCAAGUGGCUGUCAGACGAGGGCUUCUACAUUUCGCCGGACAGUCUGGGCGUGACGCAGAUGGUCUUCUUGCAGCAGAAGGACCUCGACGAGGACGCUCUCGGCAGGAUUACCCUGGGGCCACUCGAGUGUGUCGAAACAAACACACAGAAGUACGUGGUGACGUUCACAACGAGCCAGUCGUACAUAGAGGUGCCAGGCUGGCGGAAGGGGGACAUAGCGUUCAGUUUCCGGACGACCGGAGAGAAGGCCAUACUCCUCUACCAGCCUCCCAUCCGCCCUAAACAUCCUUCGUUCAUGGUUGCUCUUACCAGCGAUUUUGAGUUGACGUUCAACUUCACCCUGAACACGGGUGUGUCACGUGAACUGGAGAUCAAGUCACAGCGUCGCCUGAACAGCGGCGAGUGGCAGAAGAUAUGGAUCGACUACAACAGGCAUCAUGUCCGAUUCAUGAUCAACACUGACUAUCAGAUGGUCGAUCUCAAGCCACACGAGGAGUUUGGGCCCUUUGAGGGCAGUAUGUUCAUUGGCGGUGCUACUGACGACCUGUUGGUAGAGCGUUCCGUGCACCAGGGUCUGAUAGGCUGUUUUCGUGGCUUGGUGGUGAACGGCGAGAUCCUAGACAUCUACUCCUACAUGAGUGUGCACCUCUCGGAAAUCAUCAAGGACUGCAAACCCUCCUGCGACCCAAACCCCUGCAAGAACGGCGCCAAGUGCAAGGAGCUGUGGAGCACCUUCCAGUGUGUCUGCGACAACCCCUGGGCGUACAUCGGCACCUACUGCGAGACUAACGUGAACGAAAUAGGCAUGACGCUGGUGACACGCGACUCAUUCUUCAAGAAGAACUACGUGUCCAGCCUCGCUUCGCCCGCCCAGCUGGACGAGAAACACGCGUUCCGCGGUCUGCUGAACAGCGGGACAGUUCUGAUGAACCUGCGUACUUACACCGAUCACUCGCUGGUGCUACAUGCCAACGACCACCUCAACAAUUUCGUCCAGCUCUACAUUGACGGCAAGUUUGUCGUAUUCCUCUUCAACGCGGCUAAUAUCAUCAAGAAUAUUACUGUCCGCUAUCCAGGUCUGAACACUGGGAAAUCAGUGCAGAUAGCAAUUGUGCGGAAAUCUGAGGAGAUCACACUGCAUGUGAAUGAGAGAAACAGCACCAUUGCCGCCAACGUCACAUUUCUCACCGAAUAUUCCAAUAAACCCUGGCUCAAUCCUGAAAAAGAGGUGCUAGCCCCGCAGCGGCCCCCCGCUCCGCCCACGGACUACUUCCAGGUGAAUUUGGGGGGCUACGACCCCGAAAACCUGCUCAAUAUGAGAGAGGAUGCCCGCGCACUGGAUGGAUACAUCGGUUGCAUCAGGGGACUCAAAAUCGGAGACAAGUUGAUCGAUCUCCCCAACCAUAUCAACAAUUCCAACAAGGAAGAUGUGGAAGGUAUCAGAGCCGGAUGUCAUAUGAAGUGUGAUGAACUGCCCUGUAAAAACCAAGGAAUUUGCAUCGAGGACUUUCAGAAGGAAAUUAGUUCUUGCAAUUGCGAGAAAACGUCUUACUACGGCGAGUUCUGCGCUCAAGAGAAAGGAGCGGAUUUCAGCGGCGAAUCAGUGCUACAAAGGAAGUUCCCUCUAGAAGGUCCAGUGUAUCAAAUCAAAGUUCAGCUGGCGUUUUCAAGCAGUGAUGAUAGACAACGUAACGCUGCUCUACUUCUCAUACAAACCGUGCAUGCGAGAAACUACUAUUUAUUAGUGGCUCUGAGUGGUGAAGGAGAGUUGAUCUUUGAGGAGGACAGAGAUGGUGCUGUGUUUGGAGUGAGAGCGAAAGACAGGUUCUUUCUCAACGGCGCCAGGCAUUCUAUUUACUACAAGAGGACUAAUGAUACUGCUGUUCUAUUGAUCGAUAGAGAACCAGUAUUGCUGCAUCCUUUAUCUAAUAGCAACACAUUCUCUCAUGAUGAGAGCGAGGGCUCGAAUGAGCUGCACAUUGGAGGGCAUAAUACGAGUGACAGCCGCUUUAUCAACUACAAGAACUACAGUGGCUGCUUGUCCAAUGUAUUCCUGGACCUGAACCAGUACACGAUGAGACCUUUGGACGAGUACAUGCUGUUCACUAAGACCACAGAGGAGGUGAACGUCAUGAACUCAGUGGGCAUUCGCAGUGCGCAGUGCUCUUUCUUCGAAGUCACGCACAAGCCACGGCCCGGACCGCAACUCAACAACAGCAUUGGGAAGGACCAGCAGGCAUGGGUGGAAGACCCCCCCGCCAGAAUACCCUACAAGUCACAGUAUUCGGACCCCUCCACUGAGGAAGAGGGUACAGGACGAGUGUUAUUCAUAAUCGCACUGUCGGUGUUCUGCACUGUGAUACUGAGUACACUCUACCACGUCUACUGCAACCAUUUGCAGUACAAGAAGCGAAAAGAGCGCGAAACCGAGGCGGCCAUUUUGUGGCACAACGGUCAACAGGUGCAGUUCCAGGAUCCUGUCCUGGUGGGUCCUUCCCUCAAAGUCGUCCGCUCCAGGAGUGACGAUGCCAUGAAGUCAGUGUACACGAACGGCGCUGACCUAAAGCCGCUGACUAAGGGCGAUUACAAAGCUAUGCUCAACUCUCCAGCUGUUGUCAGAUUUAGAACUCACGACCAGGACGCUCCUCCCAAAGCCAAUGGGGUCACUUUUCAAGACUCCAAUGGUUCAGAAAACGGGAGUAGGAGUGGUCUAGCUGGUAGAGAAGAUACUACUCGUCCAUUGUUAGAGAAAGUGGUAGAAGUGCCAGUGAAUGGAACAAUCAAAGAAGAAGACGAAGAAGAACUUCAGAAGGACGAGAGAACGGCGGAAGAGGGGGGGAAGGAUGUGACAAUCCAAGUGAUAGCAGAAGUAGAGGGGGAAGAAACGGAUGCUGCAACCAAAGAUGAAGAAGGAGGAGGGGUGAGAGAGGAAGCAGAGGAGAGGCUGAGCGAUAAUGAUCUCAAUUCAGUCUACAGCAGCGAUAAGCAUCAGAAUACUUUACACUACAGUAUUGAUGAGUUAGGCAGUAUUGAAUUCACCUCCGCGCCAUAUGCAUAAAUCAGUCACUAGACGAGCUUAGAAAUUCUAAAGAUUCCAAAGACAUUUCACCAGAACAAGCCUGGUUUAUGAGAAUGAAAAGCGUAGUGCCUAAAGUGUCAACUCCUUUCGUUUUGCCUGAUGGCUCUAGAACUUUUUCUAAUCCUAUAAGUUACUUAGGCGGACCUAGCCUAGGCUCUAGCAACCAGUCUAGGCUAAGCAAAGAGUCUAUUCUGUCUAUAGAUUAAUAAAUUAUUAGCAUAGUCAAUAAACUAUAUUAUUAAUAAUUAUAACUAGAUGAACACUGUGAUAAUUUUAUUGGAUUAUUUCAAUUUUACUGUACCGUUUUCAAAAGUUGAUAGGAUUCUAAAUGGAAGGUAGAAACUCAAAUAAAUGUGAAUGAAAAAUUGUGAGAGUAUGAUAUAUAUAUAUAUUUUUUAAUGGAAUACAAUGAAGGGUUGAAAAUAUAUUGUCAAUUUUAAAUGCUGACAUAGUUUUUCAAAUUGUGAUAAUGAAUUAUUCAUGAAACUAUUAAUUUAUUAUGGUAUACAAUGAGCUUAUAAAACACUGCAAAUUAUGUGUAUAGGGUAAGGUUGUAGGGCAAGUAAUAGAGUCUUUAUUCAAAUCUUCACAUAAUCUCUUUUGUGUCUUGAGAAUAAAAUACAACCACGGAACAAUCAGUUCAAUUAACUGAACCAACAAUUAGAAGAUUAUAUUAGAAUGUUAAAAUCAAGGAUCAAUCAAUCAUUUUCUGACAAUAGAUUGCUAAUAUUGUUUAGAAUAAUUAAGGGUUUUAAAACUCAUAUAAUAUUGUGUCCUAUAGUAUUAAUAUCAAUAUUCUUGAUACUUUUUAAAAUUUUAAUUUUUAAUUGAAUCAAUUUCAGUUUUAGAGAAAAUUUUCAAUUCAAUUCUCAUUUCAAAUCAUUUACAGGAGUUUCAAUGCUAAAAAUGAUACUAAUCGCAUACAUAAAAUAAAUAAACUAUUAUUAAUAUGAAAAAACUAGUAUUAAAAUGUAAGCUGAAAAUAUUUUGAAGAUUAGGGUAACAGUAGAGUCUAAAACUUUCAUAAAAAUAAAUUUUUGAACAGAAUGUUCAGGCUAUCAUUGAAUAAGCUCACAUUCAUAAAUAACUGUUUAAUAAUUAGCUAUAGAUAAUAAUUAUGACUUUGAUAAAAUAUAAUAAAAAUAUAAAUAUGACUUUGAAUUGAAAAUAUAAUAAUGACUUUGAAAAUUUUUUGAGAACAAAUUUUCGAAUAGAACAGCCUUGUAAAUUUAAAAUAAUCCAAUAGCCUAAUGUAAAAUAAUAUAGAAUAAUAAAUUAUGAACUCUAUAAGAUAAAAUAAAUUAAUCAAAUCAUUUAAUAAAAUUGUAGAAUUCAUAGUCAAAACAAUGGAUUUAAGGUAUGAAAAUGGAUGACAAAAGCAAUGGAUUUAUCAUACAGGAGAAUAUAUUUAAUUAAGCUUGCAAUUGUUGUUAGAAAGGUUAUCUUCAAUUAGUCUCUAAAAAACGAAACAAUGCCACUUUCAUAAGAGCCUACCUUAAUGGUAUAAUGUGAAUAUUUUGUAGCAAUAAAAGAAGCAGUAAUUGAAAAAAGAAUUUAGCUCUAAGUAGCCUACCUACGGUAAAAUAUAGCUGCAGUCUGUACCGUAACUUAUAGUAUUAUGUCAUAUAUUCUCAACUCCAGAAUAAGUUAGGUUCGGAAAGGCAGUAUAAUAUUAAAAACAAAUACCUUGUCUCGCACUAACUUAUCCUAACUGAAACAAUUUGACGCAUGUUUAGAACGUGAGAUCUUUAAAAUUUUCGUAAAUCAAUUUAUUUUUGAUCAAGAGUUUUUGUGAAAAAAUUAUCCUUCCAUAUUAUAGACUUUGGUCAAUCAAUAUAAGAUAAUAAAUCUAGUUUUAUCCUGAUAAAUUAGAUGUAGGUAGCCUAUUAUUUUUUAAUGUUGUUAUAAAUAAAAGUAUUUAUUCUAUUUUUGUAAAUACUCUACUGUGAAAUUGUGAGUUGAAUUAUUGAAACAGAGUUAACUCAUGCUAAGUGUUGCAUCCUAACAUUUGAACGAAAAUUGUCAAGGAAAGAUGAGAAUAGUGUUCAUGAAAUUUUACGAAAAACUAGUACCGUAAAAAUAGUUUUGAGAAUAUUAUUAGGUAUUAUUGUAGUGCUCUAUUAAAUUGAAUCAUCGUAUACUUGUA
rnacentral:misc_RNA from 1 species